GUGCAGAGGAGGCCCGUGGUUCAGGUGGUGGACCGGCUGCAUGGACCUGGCUGCAUGCGGAUCCCCAUACAUCGUGGAGGGGAUGCCUACUCCGUCCAUGCCCCCAUAAUGGGGCAAGUUACUUUUCUAAGAUUUGGAAAUGCUGAGAGGGAAAUGAUUUCCAAAGAGAGGAGACCUGCCACUGUCAACCUCUUCAAGCCAGAGGUGUGAAGAGUUUGGAAGAAUGCUGACAUUUGCCUGAACCAAGAGAAUAAAGAAAAAUGUGUCCUCUAGUAACUUUCUUUUCCAAAAGGGGCUUUGAGGGCCAAGACACAAAUUAUGCAAGGCAGCCUUUUUGUAGACCCUUUUCUUUUAAGAAGCCACCUCAGCCGGGCGUCAUUGUCUCAGUUUACUUUCAAGGCAUUUCCAUUCAAAUAGGAAUAUUGGGGAAAUUAGUAUUGCAUUUUAAAAGUGAGUAGCUCUGUGUUUAGUAUCUCACUAGGACAGAACUUAGCUAAGGAAAAAAGAUCUACAAACUUAUUAUCUUGCAUAAAAACCCAUGCAAAUUGAAAUUACUUUUAAAAGAGGAAUGUUUUUCCAACCAAAAAUUCACUGCACCAGGACAUUACUUAGCUAAAAAUGCUCCCUACUUCUACUGAUAUUAAAGAUGACUAUAGUCAAUAAUAAGGCAAAAGUUCUCAGCUGCUCAUUUUAAUUAAACAUAGCUUUAAACUUUUGGUCCCUAAAUGCUUAAAUUACAGCACUGGAUAUGUAGCAUUCCCCACUCCCUUCUUUUCUUUUAAAACAGGUGAUUCCUUGAGCUUGUAUUUUUAUUUCUAUAGCUGUUGGCUAGGAAUCUACAGACAACUUGAUUACUUGAAUUAAUAACCACAAGAAACAUGCAGAAGGCUGCAAAUGCAUUAAGUAAACCUGUCGAUUUAGGCCACGGCUUUAGGAUCCUCAUUCAAAAAGAGAGAAAGAAAAGAGGAAACUUAGCAGCGGUGUCUUUCAGCCACGUUUCAAUUUAAUCUCACAUUUGAGUUCCACAAUUGUUUUUAAUACGUACCCUUUGCGCCAUCGGCCUCUCUGGCUCCCUUCCUACUUCAACUUCUAAUAUAUCCUCUUUAAGGCCAGUGUGAAAAGAAACAAAUAUGCAAACUCCCUCGGAAAAAAAUAAAGCACAACAACAACAACAAAAAAAUCCCUUUGCGUCUCCAGCAGUGUGAAUUACUGGUCCCAGAUCUUCGGUCUACGGGACCUGAAGCAAGGCGCCCGCGUCGCUGAGCAUAAAAGCGCUCUGGUUCCACCAAGACAGCAGUGGGAGGGAAAAAAAAGCAGAUCUUCUCUCCCCCCCAAAAAAAAUCAGUUAAAAAAAAAAGAAAGAAAAGAAAAGAAAAAGAAAAAAAAAGAGCG